rfam:Schistosoma rodhaini strain Burundi genome assembly, scaffold: SROB_scaffold0002036
GCACUGCUGAGGAAUCCCGCAAUAGGACGAAACGGCCGUCAAGUAC